rnacentral:sRNA from 1 species
ACCGGGCAUGUUGGCACAAGCCUGUAAUCCCAGCUACUUGGGAGGUUGAGGCAGGAGAAUCACUUGAAACCAGGAGGUGGAGGUUGCAGUGGGCUGAGAUCACGCCCCUGCACUCCAGCCUGGGUAACAGAGUGAGACCCCGUCUUAA